CGUCCAAUAACGUUUUAUCUUCUCGCUUGUUGGGAAGCCUUAAACCCUAAACCCCCGACCCUUUCCUCUGCUUUCGUCUCCUAAACCCCGCGCACCAUUCGACAAUUGGAACCCACCAGAAAGUAGUCGUUUUCCACCUCCAAUCCCACCCGCACCGCACCACUGAAGAAAACCAAUGCUUCUAUAUCGCUCAGCUUCAUUUUUUCAUUUCUACGAGCUGUCAUCUCCGCCCAAAUUCCUUUCCCAAUUCAAACGCUCUUUCUCAUUUCGCUCUAAUGUUUCAUGCCCUUCCUCUUCUCCUUUGCAUUUUUCGCUGAAAGAACUGCGCUGUGGACGAACAAGGGCUUUUGCAACUGCAGCCGCCGUCGUUUCACAGAGAAAGGGCAGUGAUACAUUUUUCGCGGACGAGGACGUUUCAUGGACGUCCCUUGGCAUUUCCGAAAAGCUUUCUCGGGCUCUCUAUACUGCCGGCAUCGACAGGCCAUCUUUGGUUCAGGCUGCUUGCGUACCAGCUAUACUUUCAGAAAAGGAUGUGGUUCUGGCUGCAGAGACUGGUAGUGGUAAAACAUAUGGAUAUUUGACUCCCCUAAUGGAUAGGUUGCGCACUGCAUGUGAUGAUUUUGCAAAUACAGUUUCUGAUCAUGAUUUUGCUCAAUCUCGAAGACUUUGUCUUGUUCUUUGCCCCAAUGUGCUGCUUUGUGAGCAAGUGGUUCGAAUGGCUAAUUGUCUUUGUGGUGAUGAUGGUGAACCACUCCUCAAAGUUGCAACUGUCUGUGGUCGACAGGGAUGGCCAGUAAAUGCGCCUGACAUUAUUGUGUCCACCCCAGCUGCUCUUCUGAAUAAUAUUGACCCAGACAAACCCCGUCGGCUGGAGUUUCUGCGUCGUGUAAAAUUUGUGGUGUUUGAUGAAGCAGACAUGCUUCUCUGUGGGGGCUUCCAGAAUAAAGUUAUUCGUCUGAUAAACAUGCUCCGCUUCGACGAAAAGCUAUUGUCUAGGUCAAACAAAUCUGUAUCUGAGUGGCCAAUGGAACUGGAAUCUGAAUCCUUAUCAAAUUUCAAUUUAGAUGAUACGAAAGAUCUAAAAACCGAAAUCAUAUCAGAAGGGGAAGAUGAUUCUGAGGAUGUUGAUGUUGACAAUGUAGUAGGGGAUGUCGAUGUUGAUAACGUGGUAGAGGAUGCUGAUGUUGACAACUCAGUAGAGGAUGUUGAAAAUGGUUCAAAUAAAAGAAAAGACUGGAGGAGAGUGAGGAAAUAUUAUGAGCGCAGUAAACAGUACAUUUUUGUUGCAGCCACCCUUCCAGUGAAUGGAAAGAAAACUGCUGGGGCAGUGUUGAAACAUAUGUUUCCAAAUGCCAACUGGGUUAGUGGAAACUAUCUUCAUUGUCACAACCCCAGAUUGAAGCAGAGGUGGAUUCAAGUUACACUUGAGACUCAGGUGGAUGAGCUCAUAAAGGCCGUCAAAUCUAAAGAUGGUGAAUGCCGAACCAUGGUCUUUGCAAACACUGUUGAGGCCGUUGAAGCAGUGGCAAAUGUAUUGCUGAAAGCUGGGAUUGAGUGUUACCGUUACCAUAAGGAUUUUUCCUUGGAGGAGCGUACUCAGACAUUAGCUGAUUUCCAAGGAAAAGGUGGCAUUCUUGUGUGCACUGAUGCUGCUGCACGUGGUGUUGACAUACCAAACGUGUCACAUGUUAUUCAGGCAGACUUUUCUACUUCUGCUGUAGAUUUCCUGCAUAGGGUUGGUCGCACUGCUAGAGCUGGUCAAUUUGGACUUGUCACAAGCCUGUACACUGAUUCCAACCGGGAUCUUGUUGCUGCAGUUCGUCAAGCAUGGGAGCUUGGUCAGCCUGUGGAGACAGCAUUUAGCAGGAAAAGAAGCUUCCGCAACAAGCUUAAGAAAAGAGGAAAGUUUCAUGGUAAAAGUUUAUUUCGGGAGUUUGAACCUCCACAUAAACACGAAAAGCAUAUGAUGCAAACAUGUUAAAGGAUGCACUCACAUCGAUUUCCUGCAGGCUUGGGCAAAGAGCAGAGACUUGUCAAUAGUUGAAGAGAGUAUGUUCUGACAUAAAGCUACUAGAUUGUGAGGAACUAGAUGCAAUUUGGGGUGGAUGGAACCCAACUUGAUAGCUUGUCUGGGACACAACCAUCGCUAUAAGUCAAUGUACAAGGGGAAAAUCUGUUUCAGGAAUAUUAUACUGAUGUUAGAUAGAGGUAUAUUGUACUGAUGUUAGAUACUUUUUUUAUGUUAAUAAAUUAUAAUUUACUUAUCGACUUUUUGCAUGAGACUGUAUAUAGCUAGAGACAUAAUUAAUUUGUGAAGAAACCCAAUCGUUGAUUUUUGCAUAAGACCAUAGACAGUUUGCAAACUAACAA